CCAAACUCUUCUUCAAUGAAGUGGUCAAGUACCAUGGGUUGCCUAGUACCAUAGUGUCUGAUAGGGAUGUCAAGUUCACUAGUCAUUUUUGGAGGACACUAUGGUGGAUGAUGGGAACAAAACUUCGUUUCUCAACUGCUUUCCACUGUCAAACUAAUGGUCA